rnacentral:rRNA from 1 species
AACGAACGCUGGCGGCAGGCCUAACACAUGCAAGUCGAGCGCGCCUUUCGGGGUGAGCGGCGGACGGGUUAGUAACGCGUGGGAACGUACCCUUUUCUGCGGAAUAGCCUCUGGAAACGGAGAGUAAUACCGCAUACGCCCUUCGGGGGAAAGAUUUAUCGGAGAAGGAUCGGCCCGCGUUAGAUUAGAUAGUUGGUGGGGUAACGGCUUACCAAGUCUACGAUCUAUAGCUGGUUUUAGAGGAUGAUCAGCAACACUGGGACUGAGACACGGCCCAGACUCCUACGGGAGGCGGCAGUGGGGAAUCUUGGACAAUGGGCGCAAGCCUGAUCCAGCCAUGCCGCGUGAGUGAAGAAGGCCUUAGGGUCGUAAAGCUCUUUCGCCUGUGAUGAUAAUGACAGUAGCAGGUAAAGAAACCCCGGCUAACUCCGUG